rfam:Pteropus alecto contig15745, whole genome shotgun sequence.
GGCUACAGCCAUGCUACCCUGAACAAGCCCAAUCCUGUCUGAUCUCAGAAGCGAAGCAGGGUUGGGUCUGGUUAGUACUUGAAUGGGAGACCACCUAGGAAGACCAGGUGCUGUAGACA